CUUUUUUUUUUUUUUCCUCUUUUUCCCACCCCAAAGAGCGGCGCUCGCAUCAACAUCUCAGAAGGGAACUGCCCCGAGCGGAUCAUCACCCUGGCCGGCCCCACCAACGCCAUCUUCAAAGCUUUUGCGAUGAUCAUCGACAAACUGGAAGAGGACAUCAGCAGCUCCAUGACCAACAGCACGGCCGCCAGCCAGUGCGGCUCCCUCAUUGGCAAAGGAGGCUGCAAGAUCAAAGAGAUCCGAGAGGUAGGUGCUGCUGCUGCCCCCCCCCGCCUCGUGGGGAGGUAAAUCGGUGUCAGCGCCCCCCCCCCGGGUGGCCCUACAAGGGGGGGAGGCGGCGGCGCUUGGCCUUUGUGGAGAGCUCCUCGUAUUUUUAGGACUUGGGAAACUGAGACUGCGGGGCACGGCUUCC
rnacentral:lncRNA from 1 species